rnacentral:tRNA from 5 species
GCCCGGGUAGCUCAGUCGGUAGAGCAGGGGAUUGAAAAUCCCCGUGUCGGCGGUUCGAUUCCGUCCCCGGGCA